ensembl:lncRNA
CUUGAGUUGGCUGCUCUGAGUAUAGGGAGCUACAUUUAAUUUAUUUUAUUUCGACCACCUCUUAGGUUUUUCAUCCUUCAUUUCUUCUGUUUCUGGUUCUUUUUAUGGUUCUUUUAAAAGAUAAAUGUGUUUUGUUAUCCUUAAUGUUUCCUUUCUUUCUUUUGUCUUUAUCUGCAUUUAAAUGCUUUCUGCCUUCUGGUUUCUAUUUGUAGUAGUAUGUUCUUCUGUUUUUUUAGUAGAUUUUGCUCUCAGUCUACAGUCAUCUGCUUUAUGCCAUCUAGAAUAUCCUCACUCUCUUAGUUUGCUGGUGAUUAUUGUGUAUUUCUCAUGCCUUUGAAUUGAAAAUAUAUUUAUUGUGUAAUUUCCUAUGGAUUUAAGGAGGGGAAUAUAUUUUUCUGGAAUUCUCUUUCUUUCUGAUAUGCUUUCUCCCUUUUUCUUUAUCAUCAAUGACUUACUCUACCUGCCAUUUAUCUUCACCUAUGAUUUAGAAGGAAAUUAUAACAUCGACCUGAUAGGAUUGCCAAGAAGAUUAACUGACAUAUUAUAUGCAAAGCACUUAGAACAAUGCCUGGCACAUGGUAGGUACAAUUAAAGGGCUUACUACUACUAUGAUUGCUACUACUUAUCUAUUACUCUUACUGUUGUGUGGUUGCUGUUUUAGGGAUUCACAGAAAUUCAAAAUAUGAAACUUUUACUUACUUUGGUUUUUCCUAUUCCACUUUGGUUUUCUUCUAAACCUAGAUUCUCUUAGAUCAAAAAAGUGAGCCAGAAGACACACACACACACACACACACACACACAGAGAGAGAGAGAGAGAGAGAGAGAGAGAGAGAGAGAAUGACAGACAGAGAGAGAGAGACAGAGAGAGUGAGAGGAGAUAACUGUGCUGGACAUAGGAUCUGGCAAAGAUUUUAUAAGAAAUACUUCAAAAGCAAUUGCAAUUAAAAAUAAAUAAAUAAAAAUUGACAAAUGGGACCUAAUUAAACCAAAGAACUUACAUACAGCAAAGCAAACUAUCAACAAAGUGCACAACCUACAGAAUGGAAGAAAAUAUAUGCAAACUAUGCAUCAACAAAAGUCUAAUGUCCACAAUCUGUAAAGAGCUUAAACAAAUUAACAAGUAGGAACUAAACAACCCCAUUAAAAGGGCAAAGAACAUGAACAGACACUUCUCAAAAGAUCUACACGUGACCAACCAGCAUAUGGAAAAAUGCUCAAUAUCACUGAUUGUUAGAGAAAUGCAAAUCAAAACCACAAUAAGAUACCAACUCACAACAGUGAGAAUUAGCUACUAUUAAAAAGUCAAAAAAUAACAGAUGCUGGUGACAUUGCAAAGAAAAGGGAAGCUUAUACACUGCUGGUGGGAAUGUAAAUUAGCUCAGUCAUUGUGGAAAGCAGUGUGGCAAUUCCUCAAAUAACUUAAAACAGAGUUACCAUUCACCCUAGCAAUCCCAUUAUCUCAUAUAUUCCCAAAGAAAUAUAAAUCAUUGUACCAUAAAGACACAUGCAUGUGUAUGUUCAUCACAGCACUACUCACCAUAGCAAAGACAUGGAAUCAACCUAAAUGCCUACCAACAAUAGAUUGGGUAAAGAAAAUAUGAUAUAUAUACACCAUGGAAUACUACAUAGCCAUGACAAAGAAUGAGAUCAUGUCACUUGCAGCAACAUAGAUGAAACUGGAGGUUAUUAUCCAAAACUAACAACAGACAACAGGGCCUACCUGAGGGUAGAAGGUAGGAGGAGGGUAAGGAUUGAAGAACUACCUAUCGGGUACUGCGUUUAUUACCUGGGUGAUGGAAUAAUCUGUACACCAAACCUUAUGACAUGCCUUUUACUUAUAUAACAAACCUACACAUGUACACCUGAACCUAAAAUAAAAGUUAAAAAAGAAGAAAAAGUAUAAAAAGAAGAGGAAAAGAAGACCGACCACACACAUAUGCAUGCGUGCGCGCGCACGCAUGCAUGCACACACACACACACACACACACACAGAGAGAGAGAGAGAGAGAGAGAGAGAGAGAGAAACUUGAAGAAGAGAAACUUGAAGAAUCCAGUUAAGAUAUUCUCACUCAUAGGCGGGUGAUGAAAAAUGAGAACACAUGGACAUAGGGAAGGGAGCACUACACACUGGGGUCUAUUGGGGGGAAUAGGGGAGGGACAGCAAGGGGGGGGAUCUGGGGAGGGAUAGCCUGGGGAGAAAUGCCAAAUGUGGGUGAAGGGGAGGAAGGCAGCAAAACACACUGCCAUGUGUGUACCUAUGCAACUGUCUUGCAUGUUCUGCACAUGUACCCCAAAACCUAAAAUGCAAUAAAAAAAAAUUUGGAGGAAAGGAAACGCAAUUACGGCCUAAUGGAGGCAGAAUGACGAAACCAAGGAGAAGGAGGACUUGGUGGUAGCCUUUUCUGACUAAAGUAAGAGAAAGGUUUGACUCUGGCGUUUCAGUUGAUGGAAACUCAAAAGCAGAUUCUCUAUUUGUGCAGGCAUAAUAUCCAUGUGGGCUCAAAUUGGUUUAUGUUAAUGACUGCCUGAAAAGUCCUCCAAGAUUCCAUCCCUGGAAAAAGUGACUCUAAGCUCUCCCUUCCAAGAACUGCAACUGAGGCAGUUUUCCCCCUCUGAGUUCUUAAAUGAGUGUCACUCUAGACCAUGAGUGAUGUAUAAAUAGCACCAAAGAAUGUUAACUGUGUGGUUAGGACAGUCACUGCAUGGUUAAGUAUUCCAGACUGCCUUGCCAAAUGAGUGUUGUUUAUUUGGAAGUUGCAUCAGAUAUUUAAAAUCAUGUAAUACAUGUACGGAAGAGUGCAUCAUAGACUGAAUUAAUGCUUUAAACCCAGAGUCAAAAUUCUAGGAGCUACCUGCAACACGAAUCAAGACGUUAAUUGAAGAAAUGUUUAAAACACCAUAUAACUUUACAAUAAUUGCAUUUUUCUGAAACAUAGAUGUAUAGCAAUGGUAAAUAAAGAGAAACAUUCAAACACCUUAGAAAGACAAAGAAAGCAGGAAAUCAAGUAGUUUGUUUGUAGGCACAUUGAUUCAUGCAGAUAUGCUACUGAAAAUGAUUACACAGGAAUAGAGAAAAAAACGCAGGCAUCACUAGAAGCUGGUGUUUUGAAAUAGAUAUACAUUUUUAAAGACUGACAUCUACUGAAAAUUAGAACUAUUGACAUGAAUUAAAUUCUACUUCAACACAACUUUGGGGCUACUUUGGGGCUACUAUGCUGAAGACCUAAUGAAAUAAAUACCAUGUUAAAUUUCGAGCAAGUUUUAUUUUUCUAACAUUUUUUAUUUAUUUUAUUUUUUUAUAGCUGAGAGUAGGCAGGAAAAUUGUAGUUCACUCUUAAUUAUAGAGUUGCAAAAGCAAUGCUGUAAUUAGAGCUGUGAAAAUUGUCUGGCGAUGAAUUUUCUUUGUAGUUAGAAGGAGUGAAAAGUCCUAUUGAUAGUAUUUGAUAUGAGUUUCAUCAAAGUACACCAAAGGGAUACACUAACUUCUUAAUAUUUCUCUAAUGCUUUGAAUGCGACAACUGUUAAUUGCUAUUAUUGUAGUAUUUGGUAGCCAUUUUUGAAUAUUCAGGCUUGCAUUUAUAAAAGCUUUGCCACUUUUAUAACAGAAAAUUUACAUUUACAAGAUUAGAGACAUGGGCAGGAUAUAAAUACCAACUGAACACUAGAGUCAAAGCUUUUGCUCUCCAUUUUCAUAUUACAUCAAAAGUAUUAUCUGCAUAUAAAUAGCAGACAUUCAGUGAUUUGUAAAUAGUUAUCACCUGAUCAAAUCUCCCAAUUUCAACAAAGUUUAUCUAAACUCUACAAAACAGUUGGCUGCUUUGUGUCUAACAGUGCUAGGAACUUUGAUGUUAGCCCGUUCCAAUGUUAAUUAUUUUUACUGAGCACAACAGUUAUUUAUUUUUAUUAAGCA